rnacentral:lncRNA from 1 species
UUGGGGAUGGACGCGUUGAUUGGGAAGUGGGCGUAGACGAGGCGCAUCUUGUAACGGUACCCUUUGGUGACCCCGGCGAUGAGGUUCUGGACGUGGCUGAUGGCAGUGCGUAUGGCAGCUGUGGUCUUCCGCGACCCGAACCAUGCAUCCACCUUCAGCUUCUUCCCGCUCUCGAUGAGAUCGAAAUCGAGGUUGAGGUGCUUGAAGUCACGGGUGAGCUUGCCGCGCGGACCCUCCACCUCCACGAUCUUCGCGUUCACCUUCACCGUGACUCCCUCGGGGAUGUCCAUGGUCUGCGAGGAAAGGAUCGUCUUCAUCUCGCUGCUCUCUCUUUCCGCCGCCUCC